UGUUUUUACCUAUCGUCCAGAAAAAGCCAAACAAAAAUUAGAGUUAGUUACCUUGUCCUAGAGCCAAUCUGAGCCUUGCAAUUUUCACAUUAGUAUUUGCAUUGUUGAAUCUUUGCUGAAUUAAUCGUGUCGAGUUGCUGGAUUAGAUUGGAUCGUUUUUCAGAUUUUUUCUACUAGAUCAAACUUGCUUUUGGUUUUCUUGUUCUUCGUGUGACGCAGGUUUCCUUCAUCAAUCUUCCGCCGACAAACUUCCUGCCACACCCCCACCCACAUCACGUGGUAUCAGAGCCAGGUCCUAGUAGUUGAUAGGAACAUAUUACUGUGAUUUGUUUCUUGUUUUCUACUAACCAUGACAGGACUUACACGAAGCAUGGCAACUAGACCGAUGCUAUCCCGUGACCGUGAUGAGAGCUUUUCACCACGGCCAUCCUCCACGUCUCUUGUUGACAAUGCCACGGCAACGGUACAAAACAAUCCUUCUAAUACAAUUAAAUUGUGCGUACUCUUUGAGGGGGAAAAUGAUGCUGAAACGUAUAUAGAUUGGGAGCUAGCUUUAACUUAACAAUUCACAUGCUUCCAUGUACUUGAUAGUCGCAAGGUUCAAAUUGCUAUUAGUAAAUUUACUUUUGCUGCUUUAUCUUGGUGGAAUGAGAUAGUUAGAGAAAAGAAAAUUCCCCACACUUGGGUUGAUAUGAAGAAAAUCAUGAGAGAAAAAUAUGUCCCUUUUAGUUAUGGUUUUAACUUGCGUUCAAAAUUACGACGUUUGGCACAAGAUGAUAAAACCGUUGAUGACUACUACAAUGAGUUCCAAAUUAUAACCUUGCGAUUUGGUUUAGAUGAAACCGAACAAAAAAAAAUGGAUAGGUUUUAUUGUGGGCUUAACUUUGAUAUUUCUUACAUGAUUGAAUAUGGAAAAUACGACUCUCUUUUGUGUUUGCUUAAUCUUGCUCGUAAAGUUGAGAGGAAAUUACAGCGAGGGUCUACUACAAAUGAGUCGAACCCACAAGGUAAUGAUACAGAGGAUUGUGUUGCUGAACUAAAAAGGGCAUGUGAUGAAAUAAAUGUGAUACCUAUUGAAUUUUCUGCACCAUGUGAAAUUAUUGUCGUACAUGGUGAUUCAAGUGCACCAACUGCUGAAAUUAAUUCUUCUAAUGAUUUGAGUGCACAAAUUAAUUUUGAUAUUGAUGAGAAUGAAUCAUGUGAGGAAAUAACUAAUGUUUUGGGAGAAACAAGUGAGAUAGAUAAAUUUGAUUUAGGUUGUGUCGAGUUGAUUAGACAUGAAGUGAUUGAUAAGGAUCCACCUAUUAAUUCUUUGUGUUAUAUUACACUUGAUACACCUAUGUAUUUGUCACAUGCAAUGGAUAAAGUUUCUAAAUUAACAAUUUCCAAAUCUUUUGCUAAUGCUCAUGGAUACGCUAUUCAUUUAAUUGGAGAACAUGAUGUGACCAAUAACUUUUUUGUGGAUGAAAUUUGCAUUACUUGUGAUAAUUUUCCUUUCUUGUACACGAUUGUUUGAAUAUUAGUGCUUGGACAUGCUCUAAAUUUCAGCAUCUUUUAGAAACUAAUUUGGGUACCAUUAAUUAUUAUUCUCCAGUGUUGGGAUGGUAUAAUGGUGAACGGUGAGCGGUGCAAACCAAAUACAAGAUAUUGUUUCACUUAUAUACGCAAAACGUAUUGUCAAUCUUCUUGCUGGAAUGAUAUUCAUGAUGAUUGUUUGACUAAUUAUCUCAUGAGAUUGUGUUAUAAAACAUUAAUUGUGCAACAUGGGAGUGGAGUUAAAAAUAACGAUAUAUACAUAUACCAUGCGCAUAUCUUGUCUCUUUUGUUAGCAUAUUUUCAGCAUAAACGACGCCGAGGACGGCUUUCCUUUCAAGAAAGGGAGGAUGAUAUGGACAUGAUCACCAUGGAUACGACCAUUAGAACCCUAAUUGUUGGUGUAUCUAAUAACAAUUAUAAUCAGGUGAAUUCAAUUACAAAAUGUUUUCAAUAUGUUACUUGCAAUGAGGCGGAGCUACUAUCUUGUGUAAUCUUAUUAUGUAGGCAUCUUAUUGAACUUUACAAGUCCAAAGUGAAGAUGAAGUGUUAUAGCCUGCAAAGGGAGAUUCAAAGUGAAGCCUAUCAAGUCUACUUUCCAACAAAUCAAACGGCACAUGAUUCGGAGCUUGCUAGAGAAAGAUAUCACGAAUUAAAGUUGAAUCCGAUUCGGGUCCGAGCUGUCAGGAGACCCGAAUUUGUUUUAAUCACCCAGGCCGCAUCCGGAGUCCAAAUCAAGCAAACAAGUACUUGUUGGAAAGUUAAUUACAAAAAACUUUCCAACGGAUCUGGCCCCAUCAAGAGAUUCGACUCGUGCUGAGCGUGGCGGACAAAACAAGCUGACGAAUCUGUUUUUCUGUUUCCUAAAGAGUUGUAGUUUGUUAGGAAAGUUAGAGAUAGAGUUGGAUUUCGGCCUCCUUACGCAAGGUGGACGAAAAUAUCUCUCCCUCCUCCUUUAUAUACCCCAAGACCCCCCAAGGAGCCUUGGGUUUUGAUUAGAUAAAGUUUAGCCAUCUUUGCUACUUUCGUGUAAUCGCGUGUGUCGGUUAGACCACCUGUUUUACCGUCGUCAAGACUCCAACUUAUCAUCUCGUUGAGACAUUGGUUUGAUAUAGUAUAUUAGCAAUUUGAGAUUGCAUCCGCUAUUUAUCUUGUUCUUGCUUGUUCUUCGACUGCUUGCAGGAACAAAGACCUUCGUGGUCAGGUUGAUCGUGCCCCCGCGUGAUCAAUAACCCUAUGGAGUUGGUGUAUCGAUUGCUAAGACGCUGCUUCCUAGGCCGUAGUCGCAUCGUCAACGUCACCUCCUACCCAAAUGGAGAGUUAUCAAUCUCAUCAAAAGAUCGGGCCACCCCGACCCACAUCAACUAAGGGACCAUGCCUAGGUUGUCCGUACAAUGGUCCAAUGUUGUUUCGUUUCGGUGAGUAGCUUUGCUUGGUGUGCUCAUCCUAGUACCCGAAAUGGACCCGACUCCGAUUAGAAGUUUAGCACCGACUCCGAUCUGGCCGAAUGGUCCGUCCUAGUGAGGGACGAUGCCUAGCGAGUCCCUACAAGUGGUCUAGUCCUGCUUCGCUUCGAUGAGUAGCUUUGCUUAGUGUGCUCAUCCUAGUACCCGAAAUGGACCCGACUCCGAUUAGAAGUUUAGCACCGACUCCGAUCUGGCUGAAUUGUCCGUCCUAGUGAGGGACCAUGCCUAGCGGGUCCGUACAAGUGGUCUAGUCUUAUUUCGCUUCGAUGAGUAGCUUUGCUUUGUGUGCUCAUCCUAGUACCCUAAAUGGACCCGACUCCGAUUAGAAGUUUAGCACCGACUCCGAUCUGGCUGAAUUGUCCGUCCUAGUGAGGGAGCAUGCCUAGCGAGUCCAUACAAGUGGUAUAGUCUUGUUUCGCUUCGAUGAGUAGAUUUGUUUGGUUUGCUCCUCCUAGUACGUCAAACGGGCCCGUUCCAGAUCAAAGUUUAGCACGGACUCCGAUGUGGCUGAAUUUUCCGCCCUAGUAGGGGAACAUGCCUAGCGAGUCCCUACAAGUGGUCUAGUCUUGUUUUGCUUCGAUGAGUAGCUUUGUUUGGUGUGCUCGUCCUAAUACCUUAAAUGGACACAUUCCGGAUCAAAGUUUAGCACCGACUUUGAUUUGGCUGGAUUGUCCGUUCUAGUUAGAGGCCAUGGCUAGCGAGUCCCUACAAGUGGUCUAGACUUGUUUCCCUUUGAUGAGUAGCUUUGUUUUGUGUUCUCAUCUUAUAACGUCAAAAGGACCCGUUCCGGAUCAAAGUUUAGCAAAGACUCUGAUUUGGCUGAAUUUUCCGUCCUAGUGAGGAAACAUGUCUAGCGAGUCCCUACAAGUGGUCUAGUCUUGUUUCGCUUCGAUUAGUAGCUUUGUUCGUUGUGCUCAUCCUAAUAACUUAAAUGGACACGUUACGGAUCAAAGUUUAGCACCGACUUCGAUUUGGCUGGAUUGUCCGCCCCAGUGAGAGGCCAUGGCUGAUAUGGGUCGUGGUGGCCCGAUCUUUCGAUGAGAUUGGUAACUCUCGAUUUGGGUUGGAGGUGACGUUGACGAUCCGACUAUGGCCUAGGAGGCAGCGCCUUAGCAAUCGAUACACCAACUCCAGAGGGUUAUUGAUCACGCGGGGGCACGAUCAACCUGACCACGAAGGUCUUUGUUCCUGCAAGCAAUCGAAGAACAAGCAAGAACAAGAUAAAUAGCGGAUGCAAUCUAAAAUUGCGAAUAUACUAUAUCAAACCAAUGUCCCAACGAGACGAUAAGUUGGAGUCUUGACGACGGUAAAACAGGUGGUCUAACCGACACACGCGAUUACACGAAAGUAGCAAAGAUGGCUAAACUUUAUCUAAUCAAAACCCAAGGCUCCUUAGGGGGGGCUCAUGGGGUAUAUAAAGGAGGAGGGAGAGAUAUUUUCGUCCACCUUGAGUAAGGAGGCCGAAAUCCAACUCUAUCUCUAACUUUCCUAACAAACUACAACUCUUUAGGAAACAGAAAAACAGAUCCGUCAGCUUGUUUUGUCCAUCACGGUCAGCACGAGUCGAAUCUCUUGAUGUGGCCAGAUCCGUUGGAAAGGUCUUGUAAUUACCUUUUGAACAAGUACUUGUUUGCUUGAUUUGGACUCCGGAUGCUGCCUGGGUGAUUAAAACAAAUUCGGGUCUCCUGGCAGCUCGGACCCGAAUCGGAUUCAACUUUAAUUCGUGAUAUCUUUCUCUAGCAAGCUCCGAAUCAUGUGCCGUUUGAUUUGUGUGAAAAUACACUUGAAAUCCUUCCCUCUCAGCUGUAUGAAUGCUUGAUUCUUGUUGUGCCUCCCGUUCGCCUCCAUCAUAUCUCAUCUUGACCUUGGAUUUGAAAAGCUCGACAAGAUGCCUACGUAAUAAAACGAGACAAGAUAGUAGUAGCUCCGCCUCUUCAUAAAUAUGACAAUGAAAACAAUUACUACUUAAAUUCACCUGAUUAUAAAUCUUGUCAAAUAUUAUAGAAUUGAGGGUAUCAAAGGUCGUAUCCAUGGUUAGCAUGUCCAUAUCAAUGGCUAGCGAGUCCCUACAAGUGGUCUAGACUUGUUUCCCUUUAAUGAGUAGCUUUGUUUGGUGUGCUCAUCUUAUUACGUCAAAAGGACCCGUUCCGGAUAAAAGUUUAGCACCGACUCCGAUUUGGCUGAAAUUUCUGUCCUAGUGAGGGAAAAUAACUAGCGAGUCCCUACAAGUGGUGUAGUCUUGUUUCGCUUCGAUGAGUAACUUUGUUUGGUGGGCUCAUCCCAGUACCUCAAAUGGACCCGUUCUGGAUCAAAGUUUAGCACCGACUCCGAUUUGCCGCAUUGUCCGCCCCAGUGAGGGACCAUGCCUAGCGAGUGCCUACAAGCGGUCUACUCUUGUAUCGCUUCGAUGAGUAGCUUUUUUUGGUGGGCUCAUCCUAGUAUCUCAAAUGGACACGUUCUGGAUCAAAGUUUAGCACUGACUCUGAUUUGGCCGCAUUGUCCGCACCAGUGAGGGACCAUGCCUAGCGAGUCCCUACGAGCGGUCUACUGUUGUAUCGCUUCGAUGAGUAGCUUUGUUUGGUUGGCUCAUCCUAGUAUCUCAAAUGGACACGUUCUGGAUCAAAGUUUAGCACCGACUCCGAUUUCGCCGAACUGUCCCUCAUACUGAGUGACCAUGCCUAGCGAGUCCGUACCAGUGGUCUAGUUUUGAUUCGCUUAGAUGAGUAGUUUUUUUUGGUGUGAUCAUCCUAGUACCUCAAAUGGACAUGUUCCGGAUAAAAGUUUAGCACCGACUCCGAUUUGGCCGAAUUGUACGUCUUAGUGAAGGACCAAGCCUAGCGAGUCCCUACAAGUGGUCUAGUCUUGUUUCGUUUCGAUGAGUAGCUUUGUUUGGUGGGCUAAUCCCACUACCUCAAAUGGACACGUUCUGGAUCAAAGUUUAGCACCGUCUACGAUUUGGCCGCAUUGUCCGCCCCAAUGAGGGACCAUGCCUAGCGAGUCCCUAAAAGUGGUCUACCUUGUAUCGCUUCGAUGAGUAGCUUUGUUUGGUGGGCUCAUCCUAGUAUCUCAAAUGGACACGUUCUGGAUCAAAGUUUAGCACAGACUCCGAUUUGGCCGAACUGUCCGUCCUACUGAGGGACCAUGCCUAGCGAGUCCGUACCAGUGGUCUAGUUUUGAAUCCCUUAUGUGAGUACCUUUAUUUGGUGUGCUCAUCCUAGUACCUCAAAUGGACACGUUCCGGAUAAAAGUUUAGCACCGACUUUGAUUUGGCUGGAUUGUCCGUUGUAGUGAGACGCCAUGGCUCGCGAAUCCUAACAAGUGGUCUAGACUUGUUUCCCUUUGAUGAGUAGCUUUGUUUGGUGUGCUCAUCAUAUAACGUCAAAAGGACCCGUUCCGGAUAAAAGUUUAGCACCGACUCCGAUUUGGCUGAAUUUUCCGCCCUAGUAGGGGAACAUGCCUAGCGAGUCCCUACAAGUGGUCUAGUCUUGUUUUGCUUCGAUGAGUAGCUUUGUUUGGUGUGCUCGUCCUAAUACCUUAAAUGGACACAUUCCGGAUCAAAGUUUAGCACCGACUUCGAUAUGGCUGGAUUGUCCGUUCUAGUUAGAGGCCAUGGCUAGGGAGUCCCUACAAGUGGUCUAGACUUGUUUCCCUUUGAUGAGUAGCUUUGUUUUGUGUUCUCAUCUUAUAACGUCAAAAGGACCCGUUCCGGAUCAAAGUUUAGCACCGACUCCGAUUUGGCUGAAUUUUCCGCCCUAGUGAGGGAACAUGCCGAGCGAGUCCGUACAAGUGGCCUAGUCUUGUUUCGCUUCGAUGAGUAGCUUGGUUUGGUGGGCUCAUCCCAGUACCUCGAAUGGACACGUUCUGGAUUAAAGUUUAGCACCGACUCCGAUUUGGCCGCAUUGUGCGCCCCAGUGAGGGACCAUGCCUAGCGAGUCCCUACGAGCGGUCUACUCUUGUAUCGCUUGGAUGAGUAGCUCUGUUUGGUUGGCUCACCCUAGUAUCUCAAAUGGACACAUUCUGGAUCAAAGUUUAGCACCGACUCCGAUUUUGCCGAACUGUCCCUCCUACUGAGGGACCAUGCCUUGCGAGUCCGUACCAGUGGUCUAGUUUUAAUUCGCUUAGAUGAGUAGUUUUGUUUGGUGUGAUCAUCCUAGUACCUCAAAUGGACACGUUCCGGAUAAAACUUUAGCACCGACUCUGAUUUGGCUGAAUUGUACGUCUUAGUGAAGGACCAUGCCUAGCGAGUCCCUAUAAGUGGUCUAGUCUUGUUUCGUUUCGAUGAGUAGCUUUGUUUGGUGGGCUCAUCCCAAUACCUCAAAUGGACACGUUCUGGAUCAAAGUUUAGCACCGACUAUGAUUUGGCCGCAUUGUCCGCCCCAAUGAGGGACCAUGCCUAGCGAGUCCCUACAAGUGGUCUAGUCUUGUUUCGCUUCGAUGAGUAGUUUUACUUGGUGUGCUCAUCCUAGUACCUCAAAUGGACACGUUCCGGAUAAAAGUUUAGCACCGACUUUGAUUUGGCUGGAUUGUCCGUUGUAGUGAGACGCCAUGGCUAGCGAAUCCUAACAAGUGGUCUAGACUUGUUUCCCUUUGAUGAGUAGCUUUGUUUCGUGUGCUCAACUUAUAACGUCAAAAGGACCCGUUCCGGAUAAAAGUUUAGCACCGACUCCGAUUUGGCUGAAAUUUCUGUCCUAGUGAGGGAAAAUGCCUAGCGAGUCCCUACAACUGGUCUAGCCUUGUUUCGCUUCGAUGAGUAGCUUUGUUUGGUUGGCUCAUCCCAGUACCUCAAAUGGACACGUUCUGGAUCAAAGUUUAGCGCCGACUCCGAUUUGGCCGCAUUGUGCGCCCCAGUGAGGGACCAUGCCUAGCGUGUCCCUACAAGCGGUGAUAUGGACAUGCUAACCAUGGAUACGACCAUUAGAACCCUAAUUGUUGGUGUCUCUAAUAAUUAUAAUCUGGUGAAUUCAAUUACAAAAUGUUUUCAAUAUGUUAUUUGCAAAGAGGCGGAGCUACUAUCUUGUGUUAUCUUAUUAUGUAGGCAUCUUAUUGAACUUUACAAGUCCAAAGUGAAGAUGAAGAGUUAUAGCCUGCAAAGGGAGAUUCAAAGUGAAGCCUAUCAAGUCUACUUUCCAACAAAUCAAACGGCACAUGAUUCGGAGCUUGCUAGAGAAAGAUAUCACGAAUUAAAGUUGAAUCCGAUUCGGAUCCGAGCUGUCAGGAGACCCGAAUUUGUUUUAAUCACCCAGGCCGCAUCCGGAGUCCAAAUCAAGCAAACAAGUACUUGUUGGAAAGUUAAUUACAAGACCUUUCCAACGGAUCUGGCCCCAUCAAGAGAUUCGACUCGUGCUGACCGUGGCGGACAAAACAAGCAGACGGAUCUGUUUUUGUGUUUUUCCUAAAGAGUUGUACUUUGUUAGGAAAGUUAGAGAUAGAGUUGGAUUUCGGACUCCUUAUUCAAGGUGAACGAAAAUAUCUCUCCCUCCUCCUUUAUAUACCCCAUGAGCCCCCCUAAGGAGCCUUGGGUUUUGUUUAGUUAAAAGUUAGCCAUCGCUAAUACUUCGUGUAAUCGCAUGUGUCGGUUAGACCACCUGUUUUACCGCUUUCGGAACCCCAACUUAUCGUCUCGUUGAGAUAUUGGUUUGAUAUAGUAUAUUCGCAAUUUUAGAUUGCAUCCGCUAUUUAUCUUGUUCUUGCUUCUUCUUCGAUUGCUUGCAGGAACAAAGACCUUCGUGGUCAGGUUGAUCGUGCCCCCGCGUGAUCAAUAACCCUCUGGAGUUGGUGUAUCGAUUGCUAAGGCGCUGCCUCCUAGGCCGUAGUCGGAUCGUCAACGUCACCUCCUACCCAAAUCGAGAGUUACCAAUCUUAUCGAAAGAUCGGGCCACCCGCACCCGUAUCAAGUGGUAUCAGAGCUUAAGGUUGCUCGGUGAGAUUUUUCCAGUUUAUCCCUAGUUUAGAUCUGUUUUUACCUAUCGCCCAGAAAAAGCCAACAAAAAUUAGAAUUAGUUACCUUGUCCUAUAACCAAUCUGAGCCUUGCAAUUUUCACUUUAGUAUUUGCAUUGUUGAAUCUUUGCUGCAUUAAUCGUGUCGAGUUGCUGGAUUAGAUUGGAUCGUUUUUCAGAUUUUUUUCUACUAGAUCGAACUUGCUUUUGGUUUUCUUGUUCUUCGUGUGACGCAGGUUUCCUUCAUCAAUCUUCCGCCGCCAAACUUCCUGCCACACCACCGCCAUAAUCUCCCGCCGCCACCAUAUCUUCCACCGAGUCUCUCUUCGAGUCCUACACCGAGUCCCUCUUCGACUCCUACACCGAGUCCCUCGUCGAGUCCUACACCGUGUCCUACAUCGAGUUCUACAUUGAGUCGGGCAAGUUAUAGUUUUCAGCCGCAAGUUCGAGUCUGAGUCCAAUCAAGAGUGCUUUUGGAAAGUUUUCAUAAUAGAUCGAAUUUUGUUUAGAGAUCAAGUGGUUCGGAAAGUUGUCAAAAAAAAAGAAAGGAAAGAAAAAAAAGGAAAGAAAGAAAAAAAAAAGAAAAAAAAAAAGAGAAAGAGUUCGAGUCAGUUUCGGACCCGAGUCCGAGUAGAAUUUUAGUUUCGGGUGGGUUUGACCCGUGUUCAGUAAAACGGGCGUAUCUUUUGCGUACCAACUCGGAUUUGGACGUUCUUGGACUUUUUGGAAAGCUCGCGACGAGGCGCAUCAGGAAAUAUCCAGGGUUUUUCCCUGCACUUUGAACCUCAAAUUCGGUUUGUAAGGUGGACUUUCGGAGCUUCCAAGUUUCCGCAUCCGUUUUCCGGCGUCGCUGCAGCCCGGUGUUUCUCAGUUUUCUCCACCGUCCGACAUCCGUUUUGAGUGAUCUUGCCCUUGCUAGAAAGCUUGUGUUGAUACGCUUCUAACCCAUAUUUUUUCAUAUUUUUCUGAAUUUUUCUUACUGCAGCCUUUGCUGUUCUUCGACAGACCGACGUACAGUUUUCCGGUCCUUCGUUUGCGUGAGUUUCUGGGGUUAAAAAAAAAAGAAGAAGAAGAAAAGAAUAAGAAGCCAAACAGAAGGCCACAAAAAGAAAAAAGAAGAAAAAAAUCCCAGCGAUUUACUUGUUGUGCCAUCUUUUGAUCUUUCUAUCCUAUCUUCUUCAGUAUCUAGGCUUAGAUUAUUUCUGUAAUUCAUUCUUAUCGACUCCAGCAGCUAGGACUAGCAUUAUUGAGCAUAUUUUCAACUUUGCAUUGCUGAUUUGAUUAUUUGCUAUUCUUUGCUACUCACAAAAGUCUCCAAGCUCCACAGAUUCUACACCUAGGUUUGUUUGUUACCGAGGCAUCGAUACAUUUAAUCUUCGGAGGGCUUGGUCACGCCGCUGGCCAUCACCUUCCUAUUUUGCAUGGUAAGAACUUGUAAGAACUUGAUUUUUAGAUUAAGAGUUGAGCGACUUGUAGCCACAUCCUAUUAGUUGAUAGGAACAUAUUCCUGUGUUUUGUUUCUUGUCUUAUACUAACCAUGACAGGACUUACACAAAGGAUGGAAAAUAGGCCUAUGCUAUCAAGUGACCAACAUGAGCGUUUUUCACCACAUCCAUCCUCCUCGUCUCUUGUUGACAUUGGCAAGGAAAAGGUAUAUCGCAAUCCUUGUAAUGUCACUAAUUGUUUUGGACCUUUCUUUGAUGGAAAUAAUGAUGCUGAAGCUUAUAUUGAUUGGGAAAUAGCUCUAAUUGAGCAAUUCACAUGCUUCCAUGUACUAGAUAGUCGUAAGGUCCAAAUUGCUAGUAGUAGAUUUCGUUUUGAUGCAUUAUCAUGGUGGCGUGAGAUAGUUAGAGAAAACAAAAUACCUCACACUUGGAUUGAUAUGAAGAAAAUCA
rnacentral:lncRNA from 1 species